rnacentral:rRNA from 1 species
GACGAACGCUGGCGGCGUGCUUAACACAUGCAAGUCGAACGAGAGCGUAGAGAAAGCUUGCUUUUUCUACAAUCUAGUGGCAAACGGGUGAGUAACGCGUAAACAACCUGCCCUACGGAUGGGGACAACAGCUGGAAACGGCUGCUAAUACCGAAUACGUUCCGAAAGUCGCAUGACUAUCGGAAGAAAGGAUGGCCUCUAUUUAUAAGCUAUCGCCGGAGGAGGGGUUUGCGUCUGAUUAGCUAGUUGGAGGGGUAACGGCCCACCAAGGCGACGAUCAGUAGCCGGUCUGAGAGGAUGAACGGCCACAUUGGAACUGGGACACGGUCCAGACUCCUACGGGAGGCAGCAGUGGGGAAUCUUCCGCAAUGGGCGAAAGCCUGACGGAGCAACGCCGCGUGAGUGAAGACGGCCUUCGGGUUGUAAAGCUCUGUUAUACGGGACGAAUAAUCUUGUGGUUAAUGCCCAUGAGAAGUGACGGUACCGUAAGAGAAAGCCACGGCUAACUACGUG